UACGGAGGGUGCAAGCGUUAUCCGGAUUCACUGGGUUUAAAGGGUGCGUAGGCGGAUAGGUAAGUCCGUGGUGAAAUCCUGCAGCUUAACUGCAGAACUGCCGUGGAUACUAUCUAUCUUGAAUGUCGUGGAGGUUAGCGGAAUAUGUCAUGUAGCGGUGAAAUGCUUAGAUAUGACAUAGAACACCCAUUGCGAAGGCAGCUAACUACGCGAUAAUUGACGCUGAUACACGAAAGCGUGGGGAUCAAACAGG
rnacentral:rRNA from 1 species